GUUUCUCAGCAUGACAUUUCAAACCCCACCUGUGUAUCUUACCUGUUGCUUCCGUGCCGCCCACGCCGCAAAGGCGUGCCUCCUGGUCUGGAGUACUGAGUACUCAGGGCCCCGGGGAGCCGGCACGGGAGGUUAACCACAAACUCUUGCCUUUGAAUGCCUUCUGUCUGAACUGUAGUGAAUGAAAAGUUAAAACUUUCAACAACGGAUCUCUUGGUUCUCGCAUCGAUGAAGAACGCAGCGAAAUGCGAUAAGUAGUGUGAAUUGCAGAAUUCCGUGAACCAUCGAAUCUUUGAACGCACAUUGCGCCUCCUGGUAGUCCGGGAGGCAUGCCUGUCCGAGCGUCACUAAAUCAACUCAAGCUGGUCGUGGAGGAAGAGUCCGUCCUGUUGCGGUCUCCCCUCUGAAAAUCAACGGCGGAGAGUCACAGGGAUUCGGUGUAGUAGUUUCAUUCAUCGAUCUUCCAGUGUCGUUCCUGCCAGCAAACCCCCAAGAUUCUCUUGAUUGACCUCGGAUCAGGUAGGGAUACCCGCUGAACUUAAGCAUAUCA
rnacentral:rRNA from 2 species